GUUUCGGUGCCGACCAGAAUGAGUCAUCGGUGUCCUGUUGCCGGAAGAGUCAACAAAAGUUUACACACAUUUCUCCGUGGAGAAAUCACGCGUUACUUAGUGUUUAUUGCAGACGUAAGAUUGAUGGCAUCCCCGAGUUGUAAAGCAAGACACAUAGCCUUGCAUUUUUUGUUUAUAGAAUCAUCGAGUCACACUGCAUGGAAACUUCCUGAUGAAGGGUCUCAGACCGAAACGUCGACUGUACGUCUUCUUAUAGAUGCUACCUGGCCUGCUGCAUUCUACCAGUAUUUUGUGUGUGUUGCUUGAAUUUCCAGUAUCUACAGGUUUCCUCGUGUCUGCACGGAAACAGACUCUUGACAAGACUCUUAACUUCGCCAACGUCAAUACUUUGGAAUCAUGGUUUCAGAGAUCUGAUUGAAAUUCCACUAUACAAUCUCCAUUCCUUUCAACAACAUAUAAAUGCCUAAAAUUAUGUUUAAAUCAAUAAAGCAUACAUUUGCCAGGAAACAGCUGUGUUGUCAAACAGUUUUCAUGGCAUUGAACUGAAAAUUAAACAAUUAUAUUUUAAAACAGAUCAUUAUAACCUGUCAAACGUAGUUGCUCAUUCAAGCUAUUGGCAAUGCAAUAUUUAAUUCAUAUGAGAGUAGCUAAUGUACCUUUCAAUUUUGGUUACUGAUAAUGAUUAUCAAACUAGAAUUUUCAACAAGCUUUGAAAAGGUUAAGAAAAUGCAUUUCAUAUACAAAUUGUAAAAUGAAUGAUUAAUUGCAUUCACCAAUGAGAAAUGUCUCCUGAAUUAAUUUACUUAGCUAGCUCUGAUUUGCCAGCAUCUUCACAAUAAAGAAAAAUACUUUAGCUUGUCUCUGCAGGCUAAAAAAUGUGGGUAAUUGAAUUGACAAUGUCUAUUGUUUUAAACAGAAGUCUACUGAGAUGCGAACUUGCACAGCAGAAUAUAUGUGUGCCCAAAGUUGUGCACCAAUUACUAAAUCCAUUUGCAAGAAAUCUCUAAGUAGGCAAAAAAAAACCUCAAAGCAUUUCAGAAUUGCAAAAAGAUUAUUCUCAUGUCAAAUCAGCAAUUUUACAUUAUUAAUCCUUGUGUGAAAUUUGAUUGGUUCACACUCUAGCCUCUAAUUUUGCAUUAGUAGAAAUUUUCAUAAACUAUUUAUGCAGUAAUAUAAAUUAAAUAGAAAUAAUCUAACCCCAAAAUAUUGAAUAUACUAGCUUUAAAGUGUUUGUAUCCAGUUAUAUAGUUGCAAUACGUACUUUUGAAAAGGAGGAAAUGAAAAAAGUAUGUCUUAAAUGAUAAUGUCCAGUGGAAUAAGGACAAGACCAGGUAAGAGCAAAUUUCUUCCCUUAGUGUUCUUUACCCUGAAAGCUAUGAAGGCAUAGCCAAUGAUAUGUUCAAGGUAGAGAAUGUUAGAUGUUUGAAUUACACAAGAAUUAAUGUGUUUGGCGGAAAAAUACAAGAAAACAAGAUUGAGGCCAGAUUGAAUCAGCGGUAAAAUUUUUGGGAGGAAAGAGUCUGUUAUCUCCCUUGUCCACCCAGCCCUCCCCACUGAUCUCCCUCCAGGUACUUAUCCUUGCAAGCAGAACAAGUGCUACACCUGCUCCUACACUUCCUCCCUCACCACCAUUCAGGGCCCCAGACAGUCCUUCCAGGCGAGGCGACACUGCACCUGUGAGUCUGCUGGGGUCAUCUGCUUGUGUCCACUGUUCUUUGUGCGAUCUCCUGUAUCUCGGUGAGAUCCGAAGUAAAUUGGGAGACCGCUUUGCUGAGCACCUGUGCUCUGUCUGCCAGAAAAAGCGGGAUCUCCAGUAGCCACCCAUUUCAAUUCUACUUCUCAUUCCCAUUCCUACACGUCAGUCCAUGGCCUAAUCUACUGUCGCAAUGAGGCCACACUCAAGUUGGAGGAGCAACACCUUGUAUUCCAUCUGAAAUAGCCUCCAACCUGAUGGCAUGAACAUCGAUUUCUCAGAGUUCUGGUAAUUGCCCCCCUCCAUUCCCCAUUUCUGUUUUCCUCUAUCAUCUUACCUGCCCAUCACCUCCCUCUGGUGCUGUUCCUGCUUCCCUUUCCUCCAUGCUCUUCUAUCCUCACCACUCCCCCUUUCCCAGUUUCACCUACCACCUAUCCGCUUGUUCUUCUUCCUCUCCUCCCCCCACUGUACUCUUAACUUCUCACCUUCUCUCCAGUCCUGAUGAAGGUUCUUUGCGGGCAAACAUCGACUGUUUAAUCUUUUCCAUAGAUGCUGCCUGGCCUGCUGAGUUCUUCCAGCAUUUUGUGUGUGUUGUUUUCAGUUAUUACAAUAGUUUUGCACUAGGUUCCAUCAGAAUUGGAAUAAUUGGCUAAACUAGCAGAGAAUUGGGGAAUUUAAAAUUUAGGUGAAUUAUGCUCAAAGACACCUAUCCUUGAAUUUAGAAUAACAUAUUAAGACCACUGGGAUAUAUAUAACAAAAUCCAGUGGCCUUGCAAAGACCAUUUUUACCAGAAACUGUGGAGGGGAAAAGAAGGAGAGGCAGACAGAGGAAAAGAUGGAUGGGCAACAUUAAAAGACAGACAGGGAAAACAUUUGCAGUGACCCAGGCCCUGGCACACAACCGCGACAGAUGAAACAGACUGGUGCAAGCUUGUUAUGACGGCACUUCGACGACUCCACCAGGAGUUAAGGGAGCGAGAGAGAGAGAGAUUAUGUCAAAUGUUUAAAUUCAUAUAAAUGAAGUCCCAACGAUAAAACUGACUCAUUUCCCCCAAGUCAAAACAAUUAUAUUUCCCUGAUCAUUGCGUUGCCUUUAUGGCAUUUGUUUAGUUUAUAAUAUUUUAGGUUUAGUAAUUCAUUUGUUAGCAUUUUCUAGUUAAAGUUAAGAUUGAUUAAAGUAAAUUCGUUGUCUGUGAUAUAUCGCAGCAUACGAUGACGUCACAUCCAGUUUCGCCGUGUCUUGUGGGAAAAUACCGGUUUGGAGAAACGGGAAGGAGUGGGCUCACAUGUGCAGGAUCAGCACGAGAAAAGUUGUCUCUCUACGCACUAGAAACAUAGUGAAGCAACGCCACAAGUUCAUGAGAUAAUCGAUAUGUUGAAUUAAAAUGUUAACGCUGAUUCUGUUAAAAGUAAUGACGGUUGAUAAGGAUUAUGUUUUCGUUAGUUAAAGAGUUGCGGAUAGUUUGUGUUGAAGUGUAUUUAAAGCAGUCAAUGGCGUAAGCAGAUUCUGACUGUAUGCUGCAUUUUAAUGUAAUGUAGUUGUUGUAGUUUUACCUUUGCAAGUAUUUAUGAUGUAAAUGUGAUAUCAAGAAGGAAACAAAUACUGUACAAAUUUUGUAUUGUUUUAUCAACAGUUUUCACCAUACGUUAAUGUGGAAGAGUGAACAGU